UAUUGCACAAUGGGGGAAACCCUGAUGCAGCGACGCCGCGUGAGUGAAGAAGUAUUUCGGUACGUAAAGCUCUAUCAGCAGGGAAGAAAAAAAGUCCUUUGGACUUUGGACGGUACCUGACCAAGAAGCUCCGGCUAACUACGUGCCAGCAGCCGCGGUAAUACGUAGGGGGCAAGCGUUAUCCGGAUUUACUGGGUGUAAAGGGAGCGUAGACGGCGAUGCAAGUCUGAAGUGAACGGCGGGGGCCCAACCCCCGGACUGCUUUGGAAACUGUAUAGCUGGAGUGCAGGAGAGGUAAGUGGAAUUCCUAGUGUAGCGGUGAAAUGCGUAGAUAUUAGGAGGAACACCAGUGGCGAAGGCGGCUUACUGGACUGUAACUGACGUUGAGGCUCGAAAGCGUGGGGAGCAA
rnacentral:rRNA from 1 species